CGGGUCGGCCAGGCCAUCGCGGUGCACUGAUGAGGUGCAUCGAGGAAAGUCCGGGCUCCGCAGGGCAGGAUGGUGGGUAACGCCCACUCGGGGUGACCCGCAGGCCAGUGCCACAGAAAACAGACCGCCCCGGCACGCCGGGGUAAGGGUGAAACGGCGGUGUAAGAGACCACCAGUGCACCGGGUGACCGGUGCGGCUCGGCAAACCCCAUCCGGAGCAAGGUCGAACAGGAUGCGCGGAGCCUCACGGCUCCUGCAGGGCUGCCCGCCCGAGCAUCCGGGUUGACUGCUUGAGGCCCGUGGCAACACGGCGCCCAGAUGGAUGAUGGUCCACGACAGAACCCGGCUUAUCGGCCGACCCGUCCC
rnacentral:RNase_P_RNA from 1 species